GACGAACGCUGGCGGCGUGCUUAACACAUGCAAGUCGAACGGAAAGGCCUCUUUCGGGGGGUACUCGAGUGGCGAACGGGUGAGUAACACGUGAGUAGCCUGCCCUUGACUUUGGGAUAACUUCAGGAAACUGGGGCUAAUACCGGAUAGGAGCUCCUGCUGCAUGGUGGGGGUUGGAAAGUUUCGGCGGUUGGGGAUGGACUCGCGGCUUAUCAGCUUGUUGGUGGGGUAGUGGCUUACCAAGGCUUUGACGGGUAGCCGGCCUGGGAGGGUGACCGGCCACAUUGGGACUGAGAUACGGCCCAGACUCCUACGGGAGGCAGCAGUGGGGAAUAUUGCACAAUGGGUGGAAGCCUGAUGCAGCAACGCCGGGUGCGGGAUGACGGCCUUCGGGUUGUAAACCGCUUUCGCUCAUGACGAAGCUUUGUGUGACGGUAGUGGGUAAAGAAGCACCGGCUAACUACGUG
rnacentral:rRNA from 1 species